GUCUGCUAUCACCCCUGGCAAGCAUUGGAGGCGACAAUGGCUAAUUACCCACCAUUAACAGAUAGUUGAAGAAGAACUCUUACCAACAGGUCGAUGCAACAUGCAGCCUGUCUUCACAGGAGAAGUGCUCCUGCUCUCUGAUCAUCUUCAUGGCCUUCCUCUGGCCACGAAGUCCACAUCUUCCAUAUGUUGGAUGCAGGACUCCAGAACAUCCUAUGUCCAUCUGCAAGUGCUGAGAUGCAGUAAAUCUCAACUGCUGAAGAAGUCCCAUCUAUGCCACUUGAAAUAUUUGUGAUCUCAAGAGGUUGUUUUAUUUUUUUUUUCUGUGUAUAGGAAAAAGUGG